rnacentral:rRNA from 1 species
UUGAACGCUGGCGGAAUGCUUUACACAUGCAAGUCGGGCGGCAGCACGGGGGCAACCCUGGUGGCGAGCGGCGAACGGGUGAGUAACGUAUCGGAACGUACCUAUUUGUGGGGGAUAACGCAGCGAAAGUUGUGCUAAUACCGCAUAAGUCCUGAGGGAGAAAGCAGGGGAUCGCAAGACCUUGCGCGAAUAGAGCGGCCGAUAUCUGAUUAGCUAGUUGGUAGGGUAAAGGCCUACCAAGGCGACGAUCAGUAGCUGGUCUGAGAGGACGACCAGCCACACUGGGACUGAGACACGGCCCAGACUCCUACGGGAGGCAGCAGUGGGGAAUUUUGGACAAUGGGGGCAACCCUGAUCCAGCCAUUCCGCGUGAGUGAAGAAGGCCUUCGGGUUGUAAAGCUCUUUCGGCGGGGACGAAAAGGCGGGCUCUAACAGAGCCUGUUCAUGACGGUACCUGAAGAAGAAGCACCGGCUAACUACGU